GCUCACUUGCUGGCGCUCGUGCGUGCGUGUGUGUGUGUGUGUGUGUGUGUGCAUCUUUGUUUCCUUGGGGUUUUUGCAGGGGUGGCCAUGCCCAGGGGUUGGGUCAGGGCCCUGGGGCUGCAGUGAAGACCUGCAUGCCUGGCUGCGUGCUCGCUCCAGCUGGUACAGGCUGCUCAGAACUGCCGAGAACAUGAACCUCUGAAGGCAGAGCACAUCGGAGUCCAUGUUGUUUGCUUCUGUUCUGUGUUGGGGGAUCUGAGAGCAGCACUGUGACAUCAUGCUGCAGAGGAGCCACGUUCUUUUCUCUCCCAUCUUUCCUCCCUUUCCCCCUUCCCCCUCUCCUUCACAGUAACACCGCUUGAACUGAGCUUUGGAGCACUGUGGGGUGGGCCCGGCUCAGGUGGAGGGAGGGCUUGGUUGGGCUGUUGGGAUCUUCGUGACCACAAGCCUCAUUCAGGAUCCUAUGACUUGGAGGAAGGAGGGCAGAGGAUUGAAUUAGCAGUGCGUCAUGGAGAGCUGGCCGGAGCUCCUGGGGCAGGUGUGGGCAGGCCCUGUGCUCCAGCUUUGCACCCACCCGCCGAGCUCUGGGGGCCCCUGAAGGGCAGAGGGGAGGCAGGCCACCCUCUCUGAGACAGACAGAUGCUGCCUCUCCCUUGGGGAGAGAUCCUUGGAAUGGGCUUCCGGAAGGAGAGGAUGAGAGGAGAAAGGAAGAGCACAUGUCU